UAGGGAAUCUUCGGCAAUGGACGAAAGUCUGACCGAGCAACGCCGCGUGAGUGAAGAAGGUUUUCGGAUCGUAAAGCUCUGUUGUAAGUCAAGAACGUGUGUGAGAGUGGAAAGUUCACACAGUGACGGUAGCUUACCAGAAAGGGACGGCUAACUACGUGCCAGCAGCCGCGGUAAUACGUAGGUGGCAAGCGUUGUCCGGAAUUAUUGGGCGUAAAGCGCGCGCAGGUGGUUUAAUAAGUCUGAUGUGAAAGCCCACGGCUCAACCGUGGAGGGUCAUUGGAAACUGUUAAACUUGAGUGCAGGAGAGAAAAGUGGAAUUCCUAGUGUAGCGGUGAAAUGCGUAGAGAUUAGGAGGAACACCAGUGGCGAAGGCGGCUUUUUGGCCUGUAACUGACACUGAGGCGCGAAAGCGUGGGGAGCAAACAGGAUUAGAUACCCUGGUAGUCCACGCCGUAAACGAUGAGUGCUAAGUGUUGGUCUCAUAAGAGAUCAGUGCUGCAGCUAACGCAUUAAGCACUCCGCCUGGGGAGUACGACCGCAAGGUUG
rnacentral:rRNA from 1 species